CCGACCUUAGCUCAGUUGGUAGAGCGGAGGACUGUAGUUAUAAUAAAAGCUGGUAUCCUUAGGUCGCUGGUUCGAAUCCGGCAGGUCGGA
rfam:Lupinus angustifolius cultivar Tanjil contig_10115, whole genome shotgun sequence.